rnacentral:rRNA from 1 species
GACGAACGCUGGCGGCGUGCUUAACACAUGCAAGUCGAACGGAAAGGCCCUGCUUUUGUGGGGUGCUCGAGUGGCGAACGGGUGAGUAACACGUGAGUAACCUGCCCUUGACUUUGGGAUAACUUCAGGAAACUGGGGCUAAUACCGGAUAGGAGCUCCUGCUGCAUGGUGGUGGUUGGAAAGUUUCGGCGGUUGGGGCUGGACUGGCGGCUUAUCGGCUUGUUGGGGGGGUAGUGGCUUACCAGGGGUGCGAGGGAUAGCCGGCAUGGGAGGGUAGCCGGCGACAUGAGGCCUAAGGGAGGGCCCAGACUGCAACGGGAGGCAGUGGUGGAAAGCAUGACACAACAGGGCGAAGCGUGUGACAGCGGUGCUGGGUUCGUAAUGCCGGGUUUCGGGGUAUAAACCGCUUUGGCCUGAGACGAGGCGUGAGUGACGGUAAUUGGUAAAGAAGCACCGGCUAACUACGUG